CAGGAAAUAGUUCAAUGGUAGAAUACUGGUUUUGGAUAUCAGUGGUUGAUUGUUCAAGUCAGUCUUUCCUGA
rnacentral:tRNA from 1 species